GUACUAGUAGCUCAGAGCAGAGCGUCGGUCUUGUAAACCGAAUGUCAGGGGUUAAACUCCCCUUUAGUACU
rnacentral:tRNA from 1 species